rnacentral:rRNA from 1 species
UGGGGAAUAUUGGACAAUGGGCGAAAGCCUGAUCCAGCCAUGCCGCGUGUGUGAAGAAGGUCUUCGGAUUGUAAAGCACUUUAAGUUGGGAGGAAGGGCAGUAAGCGAAUACCUUGCUGUUUUGACGUUACCGACAGAAUAAGCACCGGCUAACUCUGUGCCAGCAGCCGCGGUAAUACAGAGGGUGCGAGCGUUAAUCGGAUUUACUGGGCGUAAAGCGUGCGUAGGCGGCUAAUUGAGUCGGAUGUGAAAUCCCCGAGCUUAACUUGGGAAUUGCAUUCGAUACUGGUUAGCUAGAGUGUGGGAGAGGAUGGUAGAAUUCCAGGUGUAGCGGUGAAAUGCGUAGAGAUCUGGAGGAAUACCGAUGGCGAAGGCGACCACCUGGGCUCAUACUGACACUGAGGUGCGAAAGCGUGGGGAGCAAACAGG